CACCGGGAACCGCCACGAGUUAGGUUCUUGGGUAGAAGCGUCACUGUUCGCACGGCGUUGUUGCCGCAAUUGGGGACGUUGCAGGGUUUCGCAGCUGCUCCCCAGAGAAUAAACCUCGCAGGUUUUUCGUGGGUCGCACGAAGAGGGAGAGCCCCAAGCUUUACACCGCCGUUGGCGACUCGCAAGAGGCCUCGGGUGGAUGGCCGAAGUAGGAAG
rnacentral:misc_RNA from 1 species